UCCAGUAGCUUACAUCAGAUUAGCAGAACAACUUUGGCAAAUCAUCAAGUUAAUUACCUCAGGGGCUUUCUCUGAGUAGUGGAUGUCGAAGCAGGAGCCCCUCUCCACAAUAGUGCAGACAACUCCUGAGACUUUGGAUCAAUAAAUUACACAGAAUCAGUUCUAGUUCAAUUAUAUAACCAGCAAAGGUAUUAAGAUAGCAAAUGCAGAUGGCAAAUUCUAUUUAUGAUUUCAGAAUCAAUUUAAUUGACGGUAGUUUAAGGUUAGUCUGAUCAUUUGAUAGAUAAACUUGACCAAUCUAGUGAGUAAGCACUGUAUAUUGCAUAAACUUGAUAACUUUGUACUUUUGGCAAUAUUUGCAAGCCCCAAGGCAGAUAUGUAUGUCUGCACACAACAAUAAACCCUCCAUAAUCCAGGAAGAUUAACAAAAUAAAAUUAACAUCUGGUACAACAAAAAUAUCAUGAAAUACAAACAAAUGAAAACGAAGAUGAAAAGCAAUGACCUCGAGCUCUUCCAAGCCGCCAUUUUUUGUAUUACCCAGAGGACCUGCCAACUUGUGUCACAGCAUCUUUGGCGUUUGAAGACUCCACACAGCAGUCACUCACAGGACCUCCAAAAGUAACAGGACUAGCUGAAGAAGCAACAGCCUGAUGCUGCUGAUUGGAUAGAAAAUUUUGAUAUCAUAUCAGGAUAUAUUAUUUUUCUUGGGUCUAAU
rnacentral:lncRNA from 1 species